rnacentral:lncRNA from 1 species
GAUCCAUCAGUUCGCCACUCAGCAACAUUACCUCAAAAUGUCGAAGUUAAUCGUAUUCUUCGUUAUUGCGAGUGUAUGCAUGCACUUGUAUGCAAUGGCCGUUUCUGCUCAAGGUACAGCUCCAGGUCCAGAUGUAAUUCGAGCUAGCUGUGGAGCGGGAAGCAGUUGCUAAGCCACCCCGGCUAUUGUAAAUGCUGUCAACACUCGAUGAGUUUCGGAAACACUGAGAAUUCCAACGCAGAUCCAACAUUUCCUGUGUCAUUAUUUGAGUGUGGCGCUGACAGCGAAUCUGGGACAAGGAUUGCAUAUCUGUUUUAAGCGUGCUUGAAAUUUCUUUGGAUUAUCUAUUUAUUGAUUCAUUUUUCGAUCGAUCUAAUUAAAGAUGAUGUGCAUAAAUUAUUUGCUGUGAAGAGCAGCAAUCAUUUUUACCAUCACCUUUCAGCCUUUACGGGGACCAGUCUCAACAAAAAUUGUAACAUUUUAAAUUUUUUCCUCAAAUUACAUGAAAUAGUAUGCGAAUAAACACUUGUCACCAGUUA